GCUGCGGUGGCCUAGUUGGUUAGGGCGCCAGACUCAUAAUCUGGAGGUCGGGGGUUCGGAUCCCCCUCGCAGCA
rnacentral:tRNA from 3 species